CUAAUAAACCCUGAAUGUGCAACAAGGACCACAGGAACCAGCCACGGGAGAGUAGACAGUCACCAAGGUCAGGGUCACGUCAGGACAGCCCUGCACGUGUGCGGCCUGAGUGUUCCCACUCUCCGGGUUCACAGUGCAACAGACAGUGCCAGCUCACCACAGCCUUGUUUCCCCCAACUGACCAAGACUGGUCAGAAUGUGUCAGAUUUUGCAUGAAAGACGCAACGUAUUUGCUGUAAAAUUUUAGGAAUUACUAGAAAACAGGGAAGCCCCAAAAGGUAACACAAUCAAGGCAAGGCAAAGGUUGAAGAGAGUACUGAAAAAUCUUUUCAAACUGUUUAGAGAGGCUAUAUCUGCCCAGCUGUAGUCCUAGCAGCACGAAUGAAGAGUCUACUUCAUGUUUUUCCCACCCAUCAGGCAUUGGGAGUAGGAGAGAAUGGAUCCUGGGGGGAGAUGGUAGCAGGUUGGAGUGGCUGUGAGCCCGAGAGGCAGGAAAUAAGCCAGACUGAAACCCAUAUGCCUCUGUCAGAACUUCAAAGACUGAACCAAUGGCAGAGGCUCCACCACCGGUGCAUCUGUAAAGGCCUGGAGUGGGCUCAGGCAGUGAGAAACUGGAAAUGGAGCCUGGGCCCUUAGAGACCAGAGCAUCUCUCAUACAAGGGCUACA
rnacentral:lncRNA from 1 species